rnacentral:lncRNA from 7 species
UCGACAAAAAGCUCACAUGUAAACCAAAAUCACACAUCUUCUCUUCGAAAAUCCACCAUUUAACCAGAAUGUCGUGCACUUUCUCUUGGAAAUCCCCCAUUUAACCCCCCAAAUCCUGCAUUUUCUCUUGGAAAAUCCCCCAUUUACCCCCAAAUCAUGGCAUUAUCUCUCCCAAAAUACCCGUUUAACCCCAAAAUCAGGCAUUUUCUCUUGGAAAAUCCCCAUUUUAACUCGAAGAUCACACAUUUUCUCGUGGAAAAUCCCCUCUUAGCCCCCAAAUCAUGCAUUUUCUCUUCAAAAAUACCCCCUUAACCCUAAAACCACACAUUUACUCUAGGAAAUCCCCCAUUUAACCUGAAAUCACGCUUUUCUCUUCAAAAAUCCCCCAGUUGAGCCCCAAAGCAAACACUUUCGCUACGAGAUCCCCCAUUUAACCCAAAAUCACGCAUUUCCUCUACAACAAUCUCACAUGUAAUGAAAUCAUGCAUUUUCUCUUCAAAAACCCCAUUUAACUCGAAAAAACGCAA